rnacentral:misc_RNA from 1 species
AAUAAUUAUGAAAAAAAAAAAAAAUACUUAUCAAAGCUAUCAUGCUUACCUCUAACCAUCAACAAACCAUAUACCCACCUUCAAGGUACAAGGAAUUCAAUCCUUACCGUUAUCACCACUUAGUCUUAGGUCAAUUAUUAUCAUUUUAAACCCAAACCAAUUAAUUACAAAGAGAAUUCAUACCUAAAUACACUCCAGAACAAUCUAUAAACUAAAGUGUCUCUAAUAAUGAUGAUGGAAAUUGACAAAUGAUGAAUGAAUUCACAAUCCUAUGGGCAAACCAACUAUUCCAAUCUCCAUUAAUGUAGCAAUACACAAGUAAAAGAUCAAAAGGUCUUUUAAGGGUUGUAAUGGGGCUAUGGGAUAAUGAUUUGGCCAACAAAAAAAUGAUAUAAGGAAAACAAAGCAUGAGAACAAUCACAUAGUUAAAAGAUCAAGAUAAACAUAUAAUAUUAU